CUAAGAACUAAUCACAACUCAGUCAGUGGAGGAAACGAGAGUGUUAAAAAAGAAGAAAACUUUCCGACGCUCAGCCAUCUGGAGCUCCAGGAAAAACACUUCCUUCUCAUCAGGAUGUCAGAGUCACAGACACGCCAGGCUCCAGCACCGUCCAAUCACAGCGCACUCCCUCACCAGAGUACUGAUCACACACACCUGCACCCAAUCAUCAUGCCAAUCAGCCAGCACAUAAAAGACACUCACACUCACUCACUUACUGUCCGGUCUUUUUUGCAUUAGGACUUAUCUCCAUGCUUACCUCAAGGACUACAUUGCUAUACUUACCCGUUUCCAAGUCUGUGUGUGAGUGACUUCUGUCUCCAGCUUGUCUCUCCCUCCACAUCUAAGAUCAUUGAGUCUACAAAGCACAAAGGACAAUAUCACUUCACCAUCACCCAUCAUUCACAUCAAGAUCAUUUGUUUCCUCACCUGUUUGCACCUAAUCCUCUGCUGUGUGUCAAUAAACAACCAUUACCUGUUA